GAUGAACGCUAGCGGGAGGCUUAACACAUGCAAGUCGAGGGGCAGCAUAAGGUAGCAAUACUUUGAUGGCGACCGGCGCACGGGUGAGUAACGCGUAUGUAACCUGUCCUUAACAGGAGGAUAACCCGGAGAAAUUCGGACUAAUACUGCAUAAGAUUAUGAAUAGGCAUCUAUUAAUAAUUAAAGCUACGGCGGUUAGGGAGGGGCAUGCGUAACAUUAGCUGGUUGGUAGGGUAACGGCCUACCAAGGCAAUGAUGUUUAGGGGACCUGAGAGGGUGGUCCCCCACACUGGUACUGAGACACGGACCAGACUCCUACGGGAGGCAGCAGUGAGGAAUAUUGGUCAAUGGGCGCAAGCCUGAACCAGCCAUCCCGCGUGCAGGAAGACGGCCCUAUGGGUUGUAAACUGCUUUUCCAGGGAGAGAAACUUGCGUACGCGUUGCGCAAUUGACGGUACCCUGGGAAUAAGCAUCGGCUAACUCCGUGCCAGCAGCCGCGGUAAA
rnacentral:rRNA from 1 species